AAAAAAAGAAAAAAGAAAAGAGAAACUAUUCUUUCUCUAAAAGAAGAGAGAGCAAAAUGGAUUAAAACUAUUUAACGCGCAAGUAUUAUGCUUUGUCAAUUUUGAACGCUCCCAUUGUGUACUAGCAUGGGAUGGAAAUAUUCAAGAAUUAAUAUAAUUCAAUUUCACAUAUUAAAAUGAAUAAUUCUAUACUCUAAAAAAU
rnacentral:misc_RNA from 1 species